rnacentral:lncRNA from 10 species
CCUCCCUGAGCUUCCGCAGGGCUGAGGCUUCCUCUGCUGAGCUUGCGCACUUGGAGAAGCCCCCUCUGGGUGGUGAUUUCUGUGCUGCAGUUGACUCCCACAGUUUGACACACACACGCACACACACACUCAAAGUCUGCAAAGGCACCAGCAGCAGUACAUACAUGCUUUCCUAAUAGAAUGCUGCUUUUAAUAAACAGGCAGCCUCUUACUCUUUUAGUUUUUGUGGACUUCAUUGUUUAAAACUGUAAAUAAACAAAGAACUCUGGAUUCCUCAUCCAUACUAUUAAGUGUUAGUGUUUCCUUUACUGGAAGCCUUCAACGUAUCAGAAACUGUGCAGGGCGAUAGGGUACACAGAGGCCAAAGCCAAGGCUACUGCUUUGCGGGAACUCUCAAGCCAGGUGCUUAGAGACGGCUGUGUAUUGCGGACCUCAGCCACGGAGGGCUGAAUUUCACAGAAAUCUUGAGUGCACUCAUACAAACCCAGACGGCGCAGCCUCCUCCACACCCGGGCCACAUGGUACAGCCUGUUGCUCCCGGGAUACACACCUGCCCAGCAGGGGACGCUACUGAACACUGCAGGCAGCUGGAACACAAUGAGUUUUCAGUCUAGGAGGGGAGGCAGCUUCACGAACAGUGAUUGCCGCAGAAUGUGGUCAGUACAUCGUCACGCAUCCAGGCACCACCACGGCGUGAUGCGGGGAGCGAGGAGCCAUGAAGUCAGGCAAAAGCAUGGAAAGAAAGAUCUUCGAAAAGGAGGGGGCCUGCAAAAGAACUGAAACAUGAAAAGCCGUUGAAACAAAACUGACAGGCAAUAUGGUCAAGUUCCUGAUGACCCAAAUGAUCACUCAUUCAGGCAGCUUGGCUCACCAAGAACAGACCUGGGGGCGGCCUGGGAGCGGGUAUCAGACUGCCACAGGUUAACAUAGAGAAGCGAGGUGAUGCUGGAUGCAGUGGGUCACGCCUGUAAUUCCAGCAUGUUGGGAAGCCAAGGCAGGAGGAUCACUUGAGGCCAGGAAUUGCAGACCAGCCUGGGCAACACAGUGUGAUGUCGUCACUCCAAAAAAUAAAUAAAAGAUUAGCUGGAUGUGGUGGUACGUGCCUGUGGUCCCACCUGCUUGGGAGGCUGAGGUGGGAGGAUCAUUUCAGCCCAGGAGUCCCAGGCUGCAGUGAGCCAUCAUCACGCUACUGCACCCCAGCCUGGGCGGCAAAACAAGACCCCCUACCUACAAAAAAAGAAAGAAGAGAAAAGUGAGGUCAUGCAGUGCAGGGGGCUUCCUGCAAUCCUAGAUCUUCAUGACUCCUGGCGCUUCUGUUGUCAGGACACUCAUUAAAACCCACCCCAUGAGCCUCUUUUUCUACCACCGUCGCCCCCUAUGAGUUUCCUUUUAUGCUACCAUCUGCCACGAUAAGCCUCUUCUUUCCACCAUCACACCCGUGAGCUUCUUGAGCUCAGGGACAUGUCUCAUUUGACUUGGCACCUAUGUUUGCUAUUACGAUACUGUGUAUUUAUAAGGCACCACAAUGUAUGAUUGUUACAUCAAUAAAUCAUCAGCAAACCUUGAAGAUUUAAUUGGGAAAAAAAUCAGCUUUUGUGGCAAGUCAAGAGUCCACAGGAGGCAGCUACUGGGGUCGGUGCUGUUGAGACUGCAAGGCCUGAGGAGCUGGAACCGUGACAGAUUGGAAACAGCACCUCCUCCUACCACAGGCUUUAUUCACAAGUAUAAUUUAUUUUUUCUGUGUAGGAGCUUGAGGGAUUUCAGAGCAUGACAUCGAGUAAAUGUAUUUUACAUGUUAUUCCUUCCUUGGCAUCAUGGUUUGAGCCAUUCAAAUAUCUUCAUAAUCAAAAGCAUAAUAAAUUAUGACUAAAACGGUGUACCUGUGAAAACGUCCCUCGCACUCUCCCCAGUUGGAGGCUGUGCUUUUACGGUCGCAGACAGCAGGGCUGUUUGUGAGAGCAGCAGGGCUCUGCGGCUGGAGCUGAGUCAGAAGACGCCUGGCCUGCACUGCGGAGGUGCGGAGACCACAGAGGUCGGCGUGGCUCCAUCACAGCUAGAGGAUUCUGGGACAUAAUAUCCGCUCUGGACUGAAUGGUUAAGUCCCUCCCAAAUUCAUGUUAAAACUCUAAUCCCCAGGAAGACAGUAUUAGGAGGCACGGCCUUUGGAAGGCGAUUAGGCCAGGAAGGGCUUAUUGCCCUUAUAAAGGAGAGGGCUCCUGUCCCCUUCAGCCACGGGAGGCCACAGUGAGAAGGCGCCAUCCAGAAGCCCGGACAGUAGCCCUCACCAGAUGCCAAAUCUCCCUGCACCUUGACCUUGGACUCCUUCACCUCCACAACUGUGAGAAAUAAAUCCUUCAUUGCUUAUAAGCCA